rnacentral:tRNA from 1 species
UCCCUGGUGGUUCAGUGGUUAAGAGUCUGCCUUCAAUGCAGAAGACUGGGGUUCAGUCCCUGGUCAGGGAA